rnacentral:snRNA from 1 species
GCUCGCUUCGGCAGCACAUAUAAUAAAAUCGGAACGAUACAGAGAAGAUUAGCAUGGCCCCUGCGCA